GACGAACGCUGGCGGCGUGCUUAACACAUGCAAGUCGAACGAAGUGGCGAACGGGUGAGUAACGCGUAAUCAACCUGCCCUUCAGACGGGGACAACAGGUGGAAACGACUGCUAAUACCGCAUACUGAGGGAGGGGAUGGCGUCGGAUUAGCUAGUUGGCGGGGUAACGGCCAACCAAGGCGAUGAGCAGUAGCCGGUCUGAGAGGAUGAACGGGCACAUUUGGACUUAGACACGGCCCAGACUCCUACGGGAGGCAGGAGUGGGGAAUCUUCCGCAAUGGACGAAAGUCUUGCGGGGCAACGCCGCGUGAGUGAUGACGGCCUUCGGGUUGUAAAGCUUUGUUAAUCGGGACGCGGUACCUGAAUAGAAAGCCACGGCUAACUACGUGCCAGCAGCCGCGGUAAUUC
rnacentral:rRNA from 1 species